UGGGGAAGUGGAGCUGCUGGGAGAAGCCCAAAUCCUGCUCUGAAUGGUCCUGGUUUCCCCCAGCCCUGGCCAGGAGCUGCUCUGCCCAUCUUGCUGGGUGGCAGCUGUAGGAGCCAUGUGCUGCCCACUGCCGCCUGCACCGCUGGUGUGCUGGGGCACAAGGUAUUGGAAACUUGACUGAAGACUACGUAUCAUGCACUGGAGAAGGAUAUUUGGUUGCAGUGUAUGGAGGCACCAGAGAAUUUCCUAAAGUGGAAAACAUGACCAGAGCUGCCUGGGCUGUGCGGGAUGCUGUGCCCGGGAGCUCCCAGGCGCUGCGGCUGUGCGACGUGACGGGUGCCGGAGCUUUGUGCACCAGGUUUCUACUCUCUCUGCUAAACCAGUGGGUAUUGUGAGGUUCUUCAGAAGCAGCUCAUAACAUAAACUGUGGAGCUGGAGCGUUACGUUCCCAUUUAUUGUGCAGCUGUCUAGUUCAGGCAAAGCCAAAUGUCCAUCCUAUUUAAUUAAAUGCUGCCUUUGCCCCUGCAGUGAGUGCUUCAACUGGAUUUUGUUUGUCACUAAAAAAGCAUCGUAUUAAAAAAGUCUGAU
rnacentral:lncRNA from 1 species